rnacentral:lncRNA from 1 species
GCAGAACUAACUUCAAAGCACAAAUGAGAGAACAACAUGGUAGUAGAAGACACAUGUUUAAGAAAGACCUUCUAGAAGGGACUUAAACAAGGUUUAGUAGAAGAGAAAACAAAGAACUUAAAACCUUGGUAGAAAAUACAGUAGAGGAACACAAGUAUAUCAGAAAAACCUAGAAAAAGAACAUAUAGGGAAACACAGCAAGAUAAACAUGUGAGAGCAUAGUUUAGAAACACAAUAAAUAAAUGAAACAUAGAUAGCACAGGAGAACAUGUAGAGUAGUAGGAAAGCAUAAGAAAGCAGUACAAGCACAUGCGUGGUAAAAGGACAUAAACAUAUGAGCACAACGGAGACAAAUACUCCAAAGAAAGAAAAAGAAAAGUCAUAGAAACAUUUUAAACCUUUCUGAAAACCCUAAAGCGAAGAGAAAUGGUUUUAAAAAGAUAAUUUUUGAAAGAAAAAUUGGGGAAACCGUUUAAAAACCCAAGUAGAGUACAAAUACAUGACAAAUAUAAGAAAAAAUUGGAGAGACACUCGAGUAGGCAGGGUUUCAGAAGAACCGUAGAAUGAGAAAGGCUUGGAAAAGGUCUGAUCUGAGACGGAUAGGUUAGAACCAGGCUCAAAACACCAUUGUGUACUGGAGCUAGGCCAGAUAUGGCCAUAAUAAAAUUGACCAGUGAAGAUUUGAACCGACACCUUCGAGGUCGGACCUCGAACCUUCGAAUACCAAGUUUUUAAGAGCAGAUGGAGAUGAGUUUAAGCCUUCCAUGGCUUGAGAGGCCAUGGAUUCCGUUGAGAUUGAGGUUGAAGAUGCUAAGAGAUGCUAGGGUUUCGAGAGAGUUUGAGAGGAUAAGGAUUCCAGAGGCAGCUGUUUGAGUGGAAUGAAAAGGAAAGGAA